GACAGAGGUGCCGAGCGUUAGGCGGAAUCACUGGGCUUAAAGCGUGUGUAGGCGGACUUCUAAGUACCUUGUGAAAUCCCACGGCUCAACCGUGGAACUGCUUGGUAUACUGGUUGUCUUGAGCCACUUAGGGCAGUCGGAACAGACGGUGGAGCGGUGAAAUGCGUAGAUAUCAGGAGGAACACCGGUGGCGAAGGCGGGUCUCUGGGCCGAUACUGACGCUGAGGAGCGAAAGCGUGGGGAGCGAACAGG
rnacentral:rRNA from 1 species